CUCAAACAAAUGAGCUUAACAGCCAUACAUACGUAUAAGAGUAAAAGAGCACAUUUUAUUGAUCGACUCAUAAAACAUCUGUCCAUACAUUAUACUGACAAUCAUGUGAUAAAUCAAAAUUAUCGUACGAAAAAUGAUUGAAAAUAAACGCAAAUCGUUUCUAUAACAUCGCAUAAAUCAUGGCAUAAACAAAUACCAAUUUCGCGGGUUAAUCAAUAUAAUUGUUUGCCCACUUACCAUAUCCGUCGGCUAAUACGUCUUAUCAUACCAAACCUAACGUUUUCGUACACCGACGAACGAACUAGAUUGCUAAUCUCAUCCGCUAUCAAAUGCCAAUAUU